rnacentral:rRNA from 1 species
GACGAACGCUGGCGGCGUGCCUAAUACAUGCAAGUCGAGCGAAUUUACGAGAGCUUGCUCUCGUAAAUUAGCGGCGGACGGGUGAGUAACACGUGGGCAACCUACCUAUAAGACUGGGAUAACUUCGGGAAACCGGAGCUAAUACCGGAUAAUUCACAUCUACUCAUGUAGAUGUGCUGAAAGACGGCUUACGCUGUCACUUAUAGAUGGGCCCGCGGCGCAUUAGCUAGUUGGUGAGGUAACGGCUCACCAAGGCCACGAUGCGUAGCCGACCUGAGAGGGUGAUCGGCCACACUGGGACUGAGACACGGCCCAGACUCCUAC